UACGAAGGGGGCUAGCGUUGCUCGGAAUCACUGGGCGUAAAGGGUGCGUAGGCGGGUCUUUAAGUCAGGGGUGAAAUCCUGGAGCUCAACUCCAGAACUGCCUUUGAUACUGAAGAUCUUGAGUUCGGGAGAGGUGAGUGGAACUGCGAGUGUAGAGGUGAAAAUUCGUAGAUAUUCGCAAGAACACCAGUGGCGAAGGCGGCUCACUGGCCCGAUACUGACGCUGAGGCACGAAAGCGUGGGAGCAAACAGGG
rnacentral:rRNA from 1 species